UUUACUGAGGUGAAAGAAAUGUCUCAACAAAUAAAAUACAUACUAAGAGCUGAAAGCUUCUACAGAGCCAAUGCUAUUAAAUUUUACAUCCUUCAUGUAGAUGUAGAGACAUGUUUUGAGAAUAGUGCAUCAUCACCUAAACAAUGUAGAAAAAGACGCACAUACAGAAUAUUCCCCAAUGUUUAACAUAGUAAGAACAAGCUAGAAAGAAUACAAAAAUCACACCAGCCCUUUCAUACUCGUUUAUCUCAAAAAACAAUCUGGCGGCUGAUUCAGCCUUUCCAAUCUCAUCGAAGAUUUCUGCAGCCUUCCUGAGGUAACAAUGUGACACUUUCGAAUUUGGCCGGCCCACCCAUACGGACUGCAGCUGCUUGAAGUCCAGAAACCUCAGCCAGUCUUUCCCAAUAUGUAUCCCCUGCCCUUUCAAAGCACAUCAUUGCCAUUUCAUAGUUCUUUUCAUAAAAGAGCUGCAGUAAAUGAGAACACAAGGUACAAAUAUGAUCCAAACCAGUGGCGGAAUCAGAACAAAAUUUGAGGGGGGUAAAAUUUGAGGGCGGUUACCGGAGGUCCGGAACAACGACGUGUAGAUUACAGCGGCGAGGGAGUGGAGUUAAGGUUUUUGGGUUUGAUUUUGACCCAGAUUAAAAAAAUAGAAAGUAUAUUAACGGCUCAAUGUAUAUCGACCAGAGAAUCGUGGCUCAAUGCACAAGGCAGCACGUUACCGGCAAGAACACCAAUAAUCAGACCCAACUGGUUGAUUGCAACACAUAUGGAAACAGUGACCUCAAUUUUCUAGCUAAUCUACUUGGAUUUUCCUCAAGAGUCCCAUACUGUUUUUUUGUCUUUUUAGUUAUAAGCAAUGAGAGAGAAUGCUCAUAGCCCUAAUCAACACUCGGAUAAUAUGGUCCAAGUUAAUUUUAAUGGGUGAGAUCAACACUUUAAGCAAGACUUUCUUAAUUUAAGGUAUUAAACCAUCUUAAUUUUUA
rnacentral:lncRNA from 1 species